rnacentral:snRNA from 1 species
GUGCCUCGGCAUCAGCGUGCU